AUAUAUCUUCAGGGCGAGGCGUAAAUCCUCACCGGCGGUAAAGCCCGCGAGCCUAUUUAUAGGUUGACUUGGUUAAAUUCCAAGGCCGACAGUUAUAGUCUGGAUAAGAGAAGAUGUAU
rnacentral:ncRNA from 2 species